UUCUUUGUACACACCGCCCGUCACACCAUGAGAGUUUGUAACACCCAAAGCCGGUGAGAUAACCUUCGGGAGUCAGCCGUCUAAGGUGGGACAGAUGAUUAGGGUGAAGUCGUAACAAGGAAGCCGUAGGAGAACGUGCGGCUGGAUCACCGUCCGUUUCUAAGGAAUAUACGGAGGCUACACACAUACUUGUUGAAACAAUGUU
rnacentral:misc_RNA from 1 species